rnacentral:rRNA from 1 species
GCGGCCUAUCAGUUUGUUGGUGAGGUAAUGGCUCACCAAGACGACGACGGGUAGCCGGCCUGAGAGGGCGACCGGCCACACUGGGACUGAGACACGGCCCAGACUCCUACGGGAGGCAGCAGUGGGGAAUAUUGCACAAUGGGGGAAACCCUGAUGCAGCGACGCAGCGUGCGGGAUGACGGCCUUCGGGUUGUAAACCGCUUUCAGCAGGGAAGAAGCCCUUCGGGGUGACGGUACCUGCAGAAGAAGUACCGGCUAACUACGUGCCAGCAGCCGCGGUAAUACGUAGGGUACAAGCGUUGUCCGGAAUUAUUGGGCGUAAAGAGCUCGUAGGUGGUUGGUCACGUCUGCUGUGGAAACGCAACGCUUAACGUUGCGCGUGCAGUGGGUACGGGCUGACUAGAGUGCAGUAGGGGAGUCUGGAAUUCCUGGUGUAGCGGUGAAAUGCGCAGAUAUCAGGAGGAACACCGGUGGCGAAGGCGGGACUCUGGGCUGUAACUGACACUGAGGAGCGAAAGCAUGGGGAGCGAACAGGAUUAGAUACCCUGGUAGUCCAUGCCGUAAACGUUGGGCACUAGGUGUGGGGGACAUUCCACGUUCUCCGCGCCGUAGCUAACGCAUUAAGUGCCCCGCCUGGGGAGUACGGUCGCAAGGCUAAAACUCAAAGGAAUUGACGGGGGCCCGCACAAGCGGCGGAGCAUGCGGAUUAAUUCGAUGCAACGCGAAGAACCUUACCAAGGCUUGACAUACACCAGACCGUUCUGGAAACAGUUCCUCCCCUUUGGGGUUGGUGUACAGGUGGUGCACGGUUGUCGUCAGCUCGUGUCGUGAGAUGUUGGGUUAAGUCCCGCAACGAGCGCAACCCUCGUUCUAUGUUGCCAGCACGUAAUGGUGGGAACUCAUAGGAGACUGCCGGGGUCAACUCGGAGGAAGGUGGGGAUGACGUCAAAUCAUCAUGCCCUUUAUGUCUUGGGCUUCACGCAUGCUACAAUGGCUGGUACAGAGAGAUGCGAGACCGCGAGGUUUUAGCGAAUCCCUUAAAGCCAGUCUCAGUUCGGAUCGUAGUCUGCAAUUCGACUACGGAAGUCGGAGUCGCUAGUAAUCGCAGAUCAG